AACCGUGAGACAGGUGCUGCAUGGCUGUCGUCAGCUCGUGUUGUGAAAUGUUGGGUUAAGUCCCGCAACGAGCGCAACCCUUAUCCUUUGUUGCCAGCGGUCCGGCCGGGAACUCAAAGGAGACUGCCAGUGAUAAACUGGAGGAAGGUGGGGAUGACGUCAAGUCAUCAUGGCCCUUACGACCAGGGCUACACACGUGCUACAAUGGCGCAUACAAAGAGAAGCGACCUCGCGAGAGCAAGCGGACCUCAUAAAGUGCGUCGUAGUCCGGAUUGGAGUCUGCAACUCGACUCCAUGAAGUCGGAAUCGCUAGUAAUCGUGGAUCAGAAUGCCACGGUGAAUACGUUCCCGGGCCUUGUACACACCGCCCGUCACACCAUGGGAGUGGGUUGCAAAAGAAGUAGGUAGCUUAACCUUCGGGAGGGCGCUUACCACUUUGUGAUUCAUGACUGGGGUGAAGUCGUAACAAGGUAACCGUAGGGGAACCUGCGGUUGGAUCAC
rnacentral:rRNA from 2 species